ACGCUGGCGGCAGGCUUAACACAUGCAAGUCGAACGGUAACAGGAAUUAGCUUGCUAAUUUGCUGACGAGUGGCGGACGGGUGAGUAAUGCUUGGGAAUCUGGCUUAUGGAGGGGGAUAACUACGGGAAACUGUAGCUAAUACCGCGUAAAAUCUUCGGAUUAAAGGGUGGGACUUUCGAGCCACCUGCCAUAAGAUGAGCCCAAGUGGGAUUAGGUAGUUGGUUAGGUAAAGGCUGACCAAGCCGACGAUCUCUAGCUGGUCUGAGAGGAUGACCAGCCACACUGGAACUGAGACACGGUCCAGACUCCUACGGGAGGCAGCAGUGGGGAAUAUUGCACAAUGGGGGGAACCCUGAUGCAGCCAUGCCGCGUGAAUGAAGAAGGCCUUCGGGUUGUAAAGUUCUUUCGGUGACGAGGAAGGUUGAUAGGUUAAUAGCCUAUCAAAUUGACGUUAAUCACAGAAGAAGCACCGGCUAACUCCGUGCCAGCAGCCGCGGUAAUACGGGGGGUGCGAGCGUUAAUCGGAAUAACUGGGCGUAAAGGGCACGCAGGCGGUGACUUAAGUGAGAUGUGAAAGCCCCGAGCUUAACUUGGGAAUUGCAUUUCAUACUGGGUCGCUAGAGUACUUUAGGGAGGGGUAGAAUUCCACGUGUAGCGGUGAAAUGCGUAGAGAUGUGGAGGAAUACCGAAGGCGAAGGCAGCCCCUUGGGAAUGUACUGACGCUCAUGUGCGAAGGCGUGGGGAGCAAACAGGAUUAGAUACCCUGGUAGUCCACGCUGUAAACGAUGUCGAUUUGGGGAUUGGGCUUUGAGCUUGGUGCCCGUAGCUAACGUGAUAAAUCGACCGCCCGGGGAGUACGGCCGCAAGGUUAAAACUCAAAUGAAUUGACGGGGGCCCGCACAAGCGGUG
rnacentral:rRNA from 1 species